UACGUAGGCAGCGAGCGUUGUUCGGAAUUACUGGGCGUAAAGAGUGUGUAGGCGGUGCUCCCAGUCUGUUGUGAAAUCUCCCGGCUUAACUGGGAGGGUGCAGCGGAAACUAGAGUGCUAGAGGGUGGGAGAGGUAAGCGGAAUUCCCGGUGUAGCGGUGAAAUGCGUAGAUAUCAGGAGGAACACCUGUGGUGUAGACAGCUUACUGGACCACUUCUGACGCUGAGACACGAAAGCGUGGGUAGCAAACAGG
rnacentral:rRNA from 1 species